rnacentral:rRNA from 1 species
UACGGGGGGGGUAAGCGUCGUUCGGAAUUACUGGGCGUAAAGGGCUCGUAGGCGGCCAACUAAGUCAGACGUGAAAUCCCUCAGCUUAACUGGGGAACUGCGUCUGAUACUGGAUGGCUUGGAUUCGGGAGAGGAAUGCGGAAUUCCAGGUGUAGCGGUGAAAUGCGUAGAUAUCUGGAGGAACACCGGUGGCGAAGGCGGCAUUCUGGACCGACACUGACGCUGAGGAGCGAAAGCGUGGGGAGCGAACAGG